AGGUUUGCUGAACUCCAGAUACUCAUUCCUCUGAGCUCCCCAUUCUCAUGAUACCUUGGCUCACAGCCACACCAUCUCAAAUUCCUGUGUCUCCUGAGGACUGAAGACCUUUCCAACAUUGAGAGAUCCACUAGGAGGAGACGGAGGAGAGCAACAUGCAAAGGAGAAUUUCCUGCAAGUGCAGGAGGCAACGCUAUUUGGAGGCAACGCUGCCAUACGGUUCCUGUGCUAAUUAUGAGAAUCCUGUUGCAAAGAAAAUACCUUGGAAGCGCUGUUUUGCAAAUUGGCCUUUCCUUGGCUUUCCUUGUUUGUCUACACUGGCAAAAUGAACUGCGGAGUCAAGCGCAGCUCCCGCUCACCUUUGUCGAAGGACACAGCUUCUUUGUUGUUUACGCAGCCUGACUGAUUGCCCAUGUUGACUACACUAUCUGGAAACUUCUCAACUCUGAACUUCACAGAGCAGGGGUCGAUGGUUUCAAGGAGAAUAUUUUUGUGCCCUUGAAAUUGUGGACUUAAAAAUAACAAACAUUCACCGGAUGCCUGCUGUUGGCUAAGCAAAUGCUGAGCUCAGUGGGUGCAAAAGAAACUGUGCUCUGGGAACUCACCAUGUGCAGGGGGAGACCAACACACUGGGCCCAGGCCCCCGAAAGGUUCGAACACAAGGUUAUAGGGUACAGAGGAGGAAGAUAGUGGUCUUCCAAUUUGCCAGACAGUCUGUACUUCUAGAACAUUCUUGCUGACCACAGAAAUCCAGCAUCUCACAUUAUACUGCCCUGCCUGGCCAUUGACAACACUCAGACAACUUGGCUGCGUGAAUGCUGCCUGGAGAAAAGAGUAGCGUGGUAUGGAGCGUAAGAACGUUCCAGAAAGAAGAAGCUGGUUCAGUCAAAACUCACAAGAUUUGUCAGGGAAUAGCAAAUACUAAGUAUACUGUUAGCUGGGCACAGAUGGAGGGGCGUCAGAGGUAAUUAGCGGAGAUAAAUCUAGAAAGGUGGUCAAGUUUCUGGAGGUUGGUAGGGAUAUUAAAAUCCACUUUCCAAACAUGUUCUGGAAGAGCUGGUGACAGUGACAUCUUUCAGAACGAAAUCUAGAAAGAAAUUAGCUGUACCUUCCCCUGCCUUCUUUUUUCUCUCUUUCAUGGCAUUGAGCACAAUGUUUCAUGUACCACGAGUGGAUCUGAAACUUGCAGAAGUGAAAACAGCCAUAGUCAAGCCACCAUUUUCUUGAACCACCUAAGCGGGAGUUGUUGGGGUCAAUUUGUAGAAGAAAGGAAAUGCUCCUACGAUUGCAUUUCAUAGCAGAUUCAAAGAGUACAGGCUUUUGGAGACAAAUGGACCUGAUUUCAAAUCCACACUCUGCAACUUUCUACCCUGUGACCUUGGGCAAGAUGCUUUUCCUUGCUGAGCCUCAAUUUCCUCAUUUAUAACUCACAGAAAAUAACUCCAGUCUCCUUUGGAUGUUGUGAGAAUGAAAUGAAAUACUGUGACUGUGCCUGGCCCAUAAUGGAAGGUGUUCAGUAAAUGUGAGCUCUCUUUCUCCUAUUUUCUGUUUUAAAUCUGUUUUCAUGCCGCAUGCAAUUAAAAGUUUACGAUGUUCUAAAACGGAUUUUCCAAUUUAAGGGCAAUAAAUUGUAAGUUGCUGCUAUUUUCCUGAAAUGA
rnacentral:lncRNA from 1 species